rnacentral:rRNA from 1 species
AACGAACGCUGGCGGCAGGCUUAACACAUGCAAGUCGAGCGGGCCCUUCGGGGUCAGCGGCAGACGGGUGAGUAACGCGUGGGAAUCUACCCAUCUCUGCGGAACAACUCCGGGAAACUGGAGCUAAUACCGCAUACGCCCUUUUGGGGAAAGAUUUAUCGGGGAUGGAUGAGCCCGCGUUGGAUUAGCUAGUUGGUGGGGUAAAGGCCUACCAAGGCGACGAUCCAUAGCUGGUCUGAGAGGAUGAUCAGCCACAUUGGGACUGAGACACGGCCCAAACUCCUACGGGAGGCAGCAGCGGGGAAUAUUGGACAAUGGGCGCAAGCCUGAUCCAGCCAUGCCGCGUGAGUGAUGAAGGUCUUAGGAUUGUAAAGCUCUUUCACCGGUGAAGAUAAGGACGGUAACCGGAGAAGAAGCCCCGGCUAACUUCGUGCCAGCCGCCGCAGUAAUAC